rnacentral:rRNA from 1 species
UACGUAGGGUGCAAGCGUUAAUCGGAAUUACUGGGCGUAAAGCGUGCGCAGGCGGUUUUGUAAGACAGAGGUGAAAUCCCCGGGCUCAACCUGGGAACUGCCUUUGUGACUGCAAGGCUUGAGUGCGGCAGAGGGGGAUGGAAUUCCGCGUGUAGCAGUGAAAUGCGUAGAUAUGCGGAGGAACACCGAUGGCGAAGGCAAUCCCCUGGGCCUGCACUGACGCUCAUGCACGAAAGCGUGGGGAGCAAAC